rnacentral:rRNA from 1 species
GACGAACGCUGGCGGCGUGCUUAACACAUGCAAGUCGAACGAUGAAGAAAAGAAUCGAAGCUUCGGCAGAAAUUCAUUUCGGAUUAGUGGCAGACGGGUGAGUAACGCGUGAGCAACCUACCUCUUACAAAGGGAUAGCCUCGGGAAACCGGGAUUAAUACCAUAUAACAUUGUGACGAAGCAUUUCGAUGCAAUCAAAGCUACGGCGGUAAGAGAUGGGCUCGCGUCCCAUUAACCGGAUGGUGAGGUAACGGCUCACCAUAGUGACGAUGGGUAACCGGACUGAGAGGGUGAACGGUCACACUGGAACUGAGACACGGUCCAGACUCCUACGGGAGGCAGCAGUGGGGAAUAUUGCACAAUGGAGGGAACUCUGAUGCAGCGACGCCGCGUGAGUGAUGAAGGAAUUCGUUUCGUAAAACUCUGUUCUAUGGGAAGAAAAGGACUGUACCAUAGGAGAAAGCUCCGGCUAAAUACGUG